rnacentral:rRNA from 1 species
UACGGGGGGAGCAAGCGUUGUUCGGAUUUACUGGGCGUAAAGGGCGCGUAGGCGGCAUGACAAGUCACUUGUGAAAUCUCUGGGCUUAACCCAGAACGGCCAAGUGAUACUGUCGCGCUAGAGUGCAGAAGGGGCAAUCGGAAUUCUCGGUGUAGCGGUGAAAUGCGUAGAUAUCGAGAGGAACACCAGAGGUGAAGACGGGUUGCUGGGCUGACACUGACGCUGAGGCGCGAAAGCCAGGGGAGCAAACGGG